CAUGAUGACAAACAUGCUUGAUGGUGUAUC
rnacentral:piRNA from 1 species